UAAGAUUUUAAGUUAAAAAAACUAUAUGCCUUCAAAGUAUAAAUUAAUUUAAAUUAAGUCUUAG
rnacentral:tRNA from 1 species